rnacentral:rRNA from 1 species
UACGUAGGUGGCAAGCGUUGUCCGGAUUUACUGGGUGUAAAGGGCGUGUAGCCGGGCUUACAAGUCAGAUGUGAAAUCCGGGGGCUCAACCCCCGAACUGCAUUUGAAACUGUAGGUCUUGAAUAUCGGAGAGGCAGGCGGAAUUCCUAGUGUAGCGGUGAAAUGCGUAGAUAUUAGGAGGAACACCAGUGGCGAAGGCGGCCUGCUGGACGACAACUGACGGUGAGGCGCGAAAGCGUGGGGAGCAAACAGG